rnacentral:rRNA from 1 species
CCUACGGGGCGCAGCAGUGGGGAAUAUUGGGCAAUGGGCGAAAGCCUGACCCAGCAAUGCCGCGUGAAUGAAGAAGGUUUUCGGAUUGUAAACUCCUUUUGUUAGAGAAGAUAAUGACGGUAUCUAACGAAUAAGCACCGGCUAACUCCGUGCCAGCAGCCGCGGUAAUACGGAGGGUGCAAGCGUUACUCGGAAUCACUGGGCGUAAAGAGCGCGUAGGCGGGAUAGCAAGUCAGAUGUGAAAUCCUAUGGCUUAACCAUAGAACUGCAUUUGAAACUGUUAUUCUAGAGUAUGGGAGAGGUAG